CAGUAGCCACGUGUCAGUUCGGAUAUGAUGACCUAUCAGUUCGGCCAACUAAUCUACGGAUGCCACAUGUCAGCUCGGAUAUUGUGAUAUGACAGCUCGGACAGAGCAGCUCGGAGAAGAGGGAGGUCAGCUCGGCUGCAGCCGCCGCCUCUCCAUGAAGUGGGCCUGAUGGGCCGCCGCCUCCGGAUCUUCAGGGGUGGUUGUAUGAAACCCUAGAAAGACUCCGAACCCUAAGGGGACUUUGACUCCUAUAUGGAAACUACCACCCAUUAAGCCUAUAUAUACAGCACCACAAGACGACACAAGGUAUGCCAUCCACAGUUCUCUCUACUGUUGCUCUACUCUUGAGCUCUACUGACUUGGCCGUCGGAGCUAUUCCGG
rnacentral:lncRNA from 1 species